AUUGAACGCUGGCGGCAUGCCUUACACAUGCGAGUCGAACGGCAGCACGGGAGCAAUCCUGGUGGCGAGUGGCGAACGGGUGAGUAAUAUAUCGGAACGUGCCCAGUCGUGGGGGAUAACGUAGCGAAAGCUACGCUAAUACCGCAUACGAUCUAUGGAUGAAAGCGGGGGAUCGCAAGACCUCGCGCGAUUGGAGCGGCCGAUAACAGAUUAGGUAGUUGGUGAGGUAAAAGCUCACCAAGCCGACGAUCUGUAGCUGGUCUGAGAGGACGACCAGCCAAACUGGAACUGAGACACGGUCCAGACUCCUACGGGAGGCAGCAGUGGGGAAUUUUGGACAAUGGGCGCAAGCCUGAUCCAGCAAUGCCGCGUGCAGGAUGAAGGCCUUCGGGUUGUAAACUGCUUUUGUACGGAACGAAACGGUGAGCUCUAAUACAGUUUGCUAAUGACGGUACCGUAAGAAUAAGCACCGGCUAACUACGUGCCAGCCGCCGCAGUAA
rnacentral:rRNA from 1 species